rnacentral:rRNA from 1 species
CCAAACCCAUGUGAACAUACCUUACGUUGCCUCGGCAGGUCGCGCCUACCCCGUAACGUCCUACCCUGUAGGACCUACCCGGUAGACGCGGGUAAGCCUGCCGGCGGCCCACGAAACUCUGUUUAAUAUUGAAUUCUGAACCUUAAACUAAAUAAGUUAAAACUUUCAACAACGGAUCUCUUGGUUCUGGCAUCGAUGAAGAACGCAGCGAAAUGCGAUAAGUAAUGUGAAUUGCAGAAUUCAGUGAAUCAUCGAAUCUUUGAACGCACAUUGCGCCCAUUAGUAUUCUAGUGGGCAUGCCUGUUCGAGCGUCAUUUCAACCCUUAAGCCUCUGUUGCUUAGUGUUGGGAGCCUACGGCACCCGUAGCUCCUCAAAGUUAGUGGCGGAGUCGGUUCACACUCUAGACGUAGUAAUUCUUAUCUCGCCUAUCAGUUGGACCGGUCCCCUGCCGUAAAACCCCCCAUUUUUAAAGGU